rnacentral:lncRNA from 1 species
AGUGGGAGGAAGUGUCACAGCUCUUUUAUUUCUGCCACCCACAGCUUGGUGAGUAGGAGCAUUACAGCUCUUUUGCUCCCACAGUUCAGCAAAUUCUGAGUUCCUGUCCCAUGACCAAGAGGAAUGAGGAACAUGGACACCGGAGAAUGAGUAAGGCAGAGUAGAAUUUUAUUCAUCAGCGAGAGGGGACCUGAAAGCAGGUCGCCAUCUGUGAGGAUUAAAGUUAGGACCAAAUGCUGCUCAGAAAUUGUUUUAAUCUCAAAAGUAGUUGGCAAGUUUUCAGAGUUCAUUUUCAAGGCCUGGUGUAUGCAUUGGUUACAUGAAAACCGUGUGACAACCUUGGAAGUCUGAAAGAGCAGGAGAGAGGCUAAGCACACACAUAUUGUGAUUUUAAGAGUCUCAAGGGCUGACACAAGCUGAGAUGAGGAAAUAUGACCUCCUACACGUGUUUUCCAUGAGGAAUAUGUUUGCUGUGCAGUCACUGAGUUAAAAGCAACCUUCAUUCCCUUGUGCACCAAGGUAGUGCCUCUCCAGAGCUGUAGAUGUCUUCCCAGGAUAUUCCAUCAUUCUACACAGCAUUUAAUUCUUGGAGCUCACAGUCCAAGACUGUUAUCAGUCCAUUUUCACUCUAUUGAUCAAGACAUACUCAAGACUGGGUAAUUUAUAAAGAAA